CUGGGCUCAGGACGAACGCUGGCGGCGUGCCUAAUGCAUGCAAGUCGAGCGGGCUACGAUCUUCGGAUUGUAGCUUAGCGGCGAACGGGUGAGUAACACGUAGGUAAUCUACCCUUCAGAGGAGGACAACCUCAGGAAACUGAGGCUAAACCUUCAUACGUUCACUGGUAGGGAUACUGGUGAAGAAAGAGUUACCCCUAGAGGGUAGCUGCUGAAGGAUGAGCCUGCGGCCCAUCAGGUAGUUGGUGAGGUAACGGCUCACCAAGCCGAAGACGGGUAACCGGUCUGAGAGGAUGUCCGGUCACACUGGGACUGAGACACGGCCCAGACUCCUACGGGAGGCAGCAGCAGGGAAUCUUGGGCAAUGGGCGAAAGCCUGACCCAGCGGCGCCGCGUGGAGGAAGAAGUCCUUGGGUGUGAAGAAUGCCUGAGGUUGACGGUACCUGACGAGGAAGCCCCGGCUAACUACGUGCCAGCAGCCGCGGUAAUACGUAGGGGGCGAGCGUUGUCCGGAAUCACUGGGCGUAAAGGGCGCGUAGGCGGCUGGUUAAGUCUGGUGUCAAAGACCACGGCUCAACCGUGGGGGGGCACUGGAAACUGGCUGGCUUGAGUGCAGGAGAGGGAAGCGGAAUUCCCGGUGUAGCGGUGAAAUGCGUAGAGAUCGGGAGGAACACCAGUGGCGAAGGCGGCUUCCUGGCCCGUAACUGACGCUAAGGCGCGAAAGCGUGGGGAGCGAACAGGAUUAGAUACCCUGGUAGUCCACGCCGUAAACGAUGAGUGCUAGGUGUUGGGGGCGCAGGCCCUCAGUGCUGAAGGAAACCCAAUAAGCACUCCGCCUGGGGAGUACGGCCGCAAGGCUGAAACUCAAAGGAAUUGACGGGGGCCCGCACAAGCNGUGGAGCAUGUGGUUUAAUUCGAAGCAACGCGAAGAACCUUACCAGGGCUUGACAUCCCUCUGACCGGGCCAGAGAUGGUCCUUUCCCUUCGGGGACAGGGGUGACAGGUGGUGCAUGGUUGUCGUCAGCUCGUGUCGUGAGAUGUUGGGUUAAGUCCCGCAACGAGCGCAACCCUUGAGCUUAGUUGCCAGCAUUCAGUUGGGCACUCUAAGCUGACUGCCGCAGACAAUGCGGAGGAAGGUGGGGAUGACGUCAAAUCAUCAUGCCCCUUAUGUCCUGGGCUACACACGUGCUACAAUGGCCGGUACAAAGGGCUGCGAACCCGCGAGGGGGAGCGAAUCCCAAAAAGCCGGUCUCAGUUCGGAUUGCAGGCUGCAACUCGCCUGCAUGAAGCCGGAAUCGCUAGUAAUCGCGGAUCAGCAUGCCGCGGUGAAUACGUUCCCGGGCCUUGUACACACCGCCCGUCACACCACGAGAGUCUGUAACACCCGAAGUCGGUGAGCCAACCGCAAGGGGGCUAGCCGCCG
rnacentral:rRNA from 1 species